UACGUAGGCAGCAAGCGUUGUUCGGAGUUACUGGGCGUAAAGGGUGCGUAGGCGGUUGUUUAAGUUUGGUGUGAAAUCUCCCGGCUCAACUGGGAGGGUGCGCCGAAUACUGAAUGACUAGAGUGCGGGAGAGGAUAGUGGAAUUCCCGGUGUAGAGGUGAAAUUCGUAGAUAUCGGGAGGAACACCAGUGGCGAAGGCGGCUCUCUGGGCAGAUACUGACGCUGAGACGCGAAAGCAUGGGGAGCAAACAGG
rnacentral:rRNA from 1 species